UUUUAUUUCUACAGGCAAGUAAUUUAGAACAAGUUCUGUCCCCAUGCUCUGAGACGUGUCUGUACCUCAUGAAAUACAUUGGAUGACGCAAUUCAUACGAGACGAGCAUGUGUCCUCAAGUCCUUGAGCAUCUACUUGAACGAAGACCACGAGAAACUUGCGAAGGAUUAUAUGAACACAGACCUCGAGGCCAGUGCUUCCAUGGAGCAAACUGUGAUGGGCGUGUAUGUCAUACUGAAGGAGGGUGCGGAGCCUGAAGAUAAC